ensembl:lncRNA
GCGGACAACGCCCCGGGCUCCGCGCGCCACCGCGGCGCUUCAUUGGCCGGGCGAACCUGGGCGGACCUAGGGUGCGGGCGGGGUGGGGCGGGGCCACGUAGCCGGCCGGCGGCGGGGGGAGGCGCGGAGGCGCUGCAGACAAAGAAUGCGCUUCGUGCGCCCGCCCGCGCCGCCCCGGGCGGAGAGGAAGCCGGGCGUGUGCCGCCGCGGCGGGACGGUGGGACCGCUCCUCGUGAAGUCCGGACUGUCCGGUUGGGACUCGGUUUGGCCGGGCGCUUUCUCCCUCACCAUGAAGAGACGGAGGCUUAGAGUGUCACAGAGUGAGCCAGGAAGACUCCGGAGUCUCCUGAACUCAUCCAAGUCUUGCCAAGGAGCCUCAUUUUCUGGAAAUGCCCCGCUCUGGAGCUGGCCCAGUGUCCCACUCUGGACUCAUUGCCUGGAAGUCCCACUGCCCCCACCCCUUCCCUUCCAAAUCCUGCCAAAAUGGUAAAGUGCAUGAUAGGUAAAAAUAGUUCAGGUGGAUUUCCCUGGUGGUCUAGUGGCUAAGAAUCUGCCUGCCAAUGCAGGGGACCCGAGUUAGGUUCCUGGUCCAGGAAGAUCCCGCAUGCCACAGGGCAGUAAGCCCGUGAGCCACACCUACGGAGCCUGUGUGCCUGGAGCCGGUGCCCUGCAACAAGAGAAGCCACCCACAGAGAGAGCCGCCCCUACUAGGCCGCAACUAGAGAAAGCCUGGGCUCAACAGCAAAGACCCAGGCCAGCCAAAAAGAAG